rnacentral:rRNA from 1 species
AUUGAACGCUGGCGGCAGGCCUAACACAUGCAAGUCGAGCGGAUGAAGGGAGCUUGCUCCUGGAUUCAGCCGCGGACGGGUGAGUAAUGCCUAGGAAUCUGCCUGGUAGUGGGGGAUAACGUCCGGAAACGGGCGCUAAUACCGCAUACGUCCUGAGGGAGAAAGUGGGGGAUCUUCGGACCUCACGCUAUCAGAUGAGCCUAGGUCGGAUUAGCUAGUUGGUGGGGUAAAGGCCUACCAAGGCGACGAUCCGUAACUGGUCUGAGAGGAUGAUCAGUCACACUGGAACUGAGACACGGUCCAGACUCCUACGGGAGGCAGCAGUGGGGAAUAUUGGACAAUGGGCGAAAGCCUGAUCCAGCCAUGCCGCGUGUGUGAAGAAGGUCUUCGGAUUGUAAAGCACUUUAAGUUGGGAGGAAGGGCAGUAAGUUAACACCUUGCUGUUUUGACGUUACCAACAGAAUAAGCACCGGCUAACUUCGUG